GACGAACGCUGGCGGCGUGCUUAACACAUGCAAGUCGAACGGAAAGGCCCCUUCGGGGGUACUCGAGUGGCGAACGGGUGAGUAACACGUGAGUAACCUGCCCUUGACUUCGGGAUAACUUCAGGAAACUGGGGCUAAUACCGGAUAGGAAUCCUUGCUGCAUGGUGGGGGGUGGAAAGCUUCGGCGGUUUUGGAUGGACUCGCGGCCUAUCAGCUUGUUGGUGGGGUAGUGGCUUACCAAGGCUUUGACGGGUAGCCGGCCUGAGAGGGCGACCGGCCACCUUGGGACUGAGUGACGGCCCAGACUCCUACGGGAGGCAGCAGUGGGGAAUAUUGCACAAUGGGCGGGAGCCUGAUGCAGCAACGCCGCGUGCGGGAUGACGGCCUUCGGGUUGUAAACCGAUUUCAGCAGGGGCGAAGCUUGUGGUGACGGUACCUGCAGAAGAAGCACCGGCUAACUACGUG
rnacentral:rRNA from 1 species